UGCGUAGGUGGUUGGUUAAGUUUGAGGUGAAAGCUCCGAGCUCAACUCGGAAAAUGCCUUGAAGACUAUCUGACUAGAGGAUUAGAGGGGAGAUUGGAAUUCUCGGUGUAGCAGUGAAAUGCGUAGAUAUCGAGAGGAACACCAGUGGCGAAGGCGAAUCUCUGGACAAUUCCUGACACUGAGGCACGAAAGCCAAGGGAGCAAACG
rnacentral:rRNA from 1 species